CAACAGUACUCUCCUUGGGAAAGCUGGAAAGGUGGGAUUCUUUUGUGUCUUACAUCAGUGGUCUGCAAGUCCAGUCCAUGAGUCCCACUGUCCUGUGACUUUUGGUGGCAUCCCUGCUCCAAAACCCCUGAUUCAAAUGAAUUAAAAUGAAGCAAAAUGGUAGCUCAACCUUGUGAUUCAGAUCGGUCACACCUGUAAAAAGGAGGAUACGGUCAGACGCCAAGAACACCUGCAACCCUGCUCAUAUGGCCCAGGGCCGUCUCAGACUUCUUUCAGAYCAUGAAGACCAUCGGCUACAUUCCACGCAUCCUGACAAUAAUCUUCAGUAAGCUCUGUUAUGGAGCAUGUUCACUUCCUCCUCUCACCUCUGACUUUGCAGAGCUCCUGGUUUCCAGUUCCAUCCUGAACCAAAGACAUUCACUAUUUUUGUAAUAAACAUUCAUUUUGACUGA